rnacentral:rRNA from 1 species
GUCUACCGACUUACCAGCCUGAAUGCACCCAGUCUCGAAGGUAAGCAGGUUGGGACCUGGUUAGUACUGGAUGGGAGUCCAAAGAGGGCUUUUGAGACU